rnacentral:tRNA from 1 species
GUUUAAGAGGUGUAAUCACGCCAUCUUUUCGAGAUGGAGAUGCUAUUUUUUUAGCCUUGAAUC